GUGGGACAUUACCGGUGUAAUCGAAUUUCACAAGUGGUGUUGCUGGAAAAUCGGUUGUGUAAAUGUUAGGAAUCUUGUUCGUGUAUGCUUGAAGCAAUGAAGCUCGAUUAGGAAGCACGAACGACACGUUGUUCAUGCUAGCGCCAAACCGUGUGUUAUUCGGUCCUUGACAUCUUGGCCCAGGAGAACAGUUGAAAAAACCGAAACCAAUGAUGAAAAACAAGUUUUCGUCGAUUUUUGUUGGGACAUCGACUUUUUCAGGACUUUUGAUUUGGUUUGAGAAGGAAGUGGCGGUGUUUGUGUCGUUAUAGGCGGGGAGUGGUGGUAGGAUUGGUCUUGAAGUGGAGGAUUUGUACUCAAGAAUGGCGGUUGUCGUUGUGUUGUCAAAAGGGGCGUUUUGAGCAGUGGCAUAGGCUCGGGCAGCCAUGUAGUAUCGGCCCGGUUUUUGAUUGGCGGUCAGGAGCACGUCGGUGGUUUGUCCGGGUCCCACCAUGAUGAUAUUGGUGGCGAAUGGUUUAGUGUAGACCGCGUCUGUCGCAACAACAGUUAGCUUGUGGUUUGCAACGGUGAAGAAAAGUUGUUGAUUGAGUGCAGCGUUGAUGACUCGUAGUAGCACAGAGUCGCCAGAGUUCACCGAAUAUCUUACGGCCUUUAGGUGCACAUCAAAUGGACUUGCUGUCUGAGAAGCUGGAGUGGUCAUGGGUCGAGACACAUGGAAACGCAAUAUAAGACUAAGAACUUACAUAUGGUUUUAUAAACACUUAAUGAGUUAAAUAUGCUUCCGCUGUAAAUUGUGAAAUAUUGUAACAUUGUAACACUUGUUGUUUAUAAAUGAAAGUAUUACUUGC
rnacentral:lncRNA from 1 species